CCUACAGGCGGCCGCAGUGAGGAAUCUUGGUCAAUGGGCGCGAGCCUGAACCAGCCAAGUAGCGUGAAGGAUGACUGCCCUACGGGUUGUAACCUUCUUUUAUAAAGGAAUAAAGUGAGGCACGUGUGCCUUUUUGUAUGUACUUUAUGAAUAAGGAUCGGCUAACUCCGUGCCAGCAGCCGCGGUAAUACGGUGUAUCCGGUCGUUAUCCGGUUAUAUUUGGUUUAAAGGGAGCGUAGAUGGGUUGUUAAGUCAUUUGUGAAAGUUUGCGGCUCAACCGUAAACUUGCAAUUGAAACCGGCAGCCUUGAGUACAGUUGAGGUAGGCGGAAUUCGUGGUGUAGCGGUGAAAUGCUUAGAUAU
rnacentral:rRNA from 1 species